GAAAAAGAACCUGAAACCGUGUACGUACAAGCAGUGGGAGCACGCUUAGGCGUGUGACUGCGUACCUUUUGUAUAAUGGGUCAGCGACUUAUAUUCUGUAGCAAGGUUAACCGAAUAGGGGAGCCGAAGGGAAACCGAGUCUUAACUGGGCGUUAAGUUGCAGGGUAUAGACCCGAAACCCGGUGAUCUAGCCAUGGGCAGGUUGAAGGUUGGGUAACACUAACUGGAGGACCGAACCGACUAAUGUUGAAAAAUUAGCGGAUGACUUGUGGCUGGGGGUGAAAGGCCAAUCAAACCGGGAGAUAGCUGGUUCUCCCCGAAAGCUAUUUAGGUAGCGCCUCGUGAAUUCAUCUCCGGGGGUAGAGCACUGUUUCGGCAAGGGGGUCAUCCCGACUUACCAACCCGAUGCAAACUGCGAAUACCGGAGAAUGUUAUCACGGGAGACACACGGCGGGUGCUAACGUCCGUCGUGAAGAGGGAAACAACCCAGACCGCCAGCUAAGGUCCCAAAGUCAUGGUUAAGUGGGAAACGAUGUGGGAAGGCCCAGACAGCCAGGAUGUUGGCUUAGAAGCAGCCAUCAUUUAAAGAAAGCGUAAUAGCUCACUGGUCGAGUCGGCCUGCGCGGAAGAUGUAACGGGGCUAAACCAUGCACCGAAGCUGCGGCAGCGACGCUGAUGCGUUGUUGGGUAGGGGAGCGUUCUGUAAGCCUGUGAAGGUGUGCUGUGAGGCAUGCUGGAGGUAUCAGAAGUGCGAAUGCUG
rnacentral:rRNA from 1 species